CCUGGUGGAAGCAGUAAAGGUGA
rnacentral:piRNA from 1 species